GAUGAAGAACGUAGCGAAAUGCGAUAAGUAAUGCGAAUUGCAGAAUUUCCGUGAGUCAUCAAAUCUUUGAACGCACAUUGCGCCCACUGGUAUUCCGGUGGGCAUGCCUGUUCGAGCGUCAUUAUCCUCCCUCAAACCCCGGGUUUGGUGUUGGACCCAAGUUGUGUGAACAACUGGUCUCAAAGACAAUGACGGCGUCCGUGGGACCCUCGGUGCAACGAGCUUUUAGGAGCACGCAUCGAGUUGCAAGGACCUUCCGGGCCGGUCUCCUUUACCAUUUUACAAGGUUGACCUCGGAUCAGGUAGGAAUACCCGCUGAACUUAAGCAUAUCAAUAAGCGGAGGA
rnacentral:misc_RNA from 1 species